UACGUAGGGUGCGAGCGUUGUCCGGAAUUAUUGGGCGUAAAGGGCUCGUAGGCGGUUUGUCGCGUCGACUGUGAAAACCCGCGGCUUAACCGCGGGCUUGCAGUUGAUACGGGCAGGCUAGAGUUCGGUAGGGGAGACUGGAAUUCCUGGUGUAGCGGUGAAAUGCGCAGAUAUCAGGGGGAACACCGGUGGCGAAGGCGGGUCUCUGGGCCGAUACUGACGCUGAGGAGCGAAAGCGUGGGGAGCGAACAGG
rnacentral:rRNA from 1 species